rnacentral:sRNA from 1 species
UCUGAGUAUGAUGACCGUGGCCGCCUU